GUGAAUCAUCAAAUUUUUGAACGCAAAUUGCACUCUCCUCGGAGAGUAUGCCUGUUUGAGGGUCAGCCUAAAAAAAAUCGACAUCGUUGCUGUUCCGCGGUGACGUUCGUCGGAAAUUGGGUUAUCUUAAACCUUUUGGUUUAAGCGCUUUAAACUUUUCCUUUUGAUUCAAUGAACUUUUCUAAGGUUUAUUUCUUUACACGUUUAGGUUAUCGUUUUUUAUUAGAGU
rnacentral:misc_RNA from 1 species